GACGAACGCUGGCGGCGUGCCUAAUACAUGCAAGUCGGACGCAGUUGCGAGCGGGUGAGUAACGCGUAGGUAACUGCCUAUUAGAGGGGGAUAACUAUUGGAAACGAUAGCACAUACCGCAUACUAGUAGAUGGACCUGCGUUGUAUUAGCUAGUAGGUAGGGUAAUGGGCUACCUAGGCGACGAUACAUAGCCGACCGGGGAGGGUGAGCGGCGACGCUGAGACUGAGACACGGCCCAGACUCAAACGGGAGGGAGCAGUAGGGGUUAUUAGGAAAUGGGGGGAACCCUUAGCAUGCAACGGCGCGGUAGUGAAGAAGGUGUUCGGAUCGUAAAGCUUUGUUGGUAAUGAAGCGGUACUUAAUCAGAAAGGGACGGCUAACUACGUGCCAGCAGCCGCGGUAAUUC
rnacentral:rRNA from 1 species